rnacentral:rRNA from 1 species
UACGUAGGGUGCAAGCGUUGUCCGGAAUUAUUGGGCGUAAAGGGUGCGUAGGCGGCCUGACAAGUCUGAUGUGAAAUCCCUGGGCUCAACCCAGGGCCUGCAUCGGAAACUGUCGGGCUUGAGUAUGGGAGAGGUGAGUGGAAUUUCCGGUGUAGCGGUGAAAUGCGUAGAUAUCGGAAGGAACACCUGUGGCGAAAGCGGCUCACUGGACCAUUACUGACGCUGAGGCACGAAAGCUAGGGGAGCAAACAGG